GAUGAACGCUGGCGGCGUGCCUAAUACAUGCAAGUCGAGCGAACGGACGAGAAGCUUGCUUCUCUGAUGUUAGCGGCGGACGGGUGAGUAACACGUGGAUAACCUACCUAUAAGACUGGGAUAACUUCGGGAAACCGGAGCUAAUACCGGAUGAUAUUUUGAACCGCAUGGUUCAAAAGUGAAAGACGGUCUUGCUGUCACUUAUAGAUGGAUCCGCGCUGCAUUAGCUAGUUGGUAAGGUAACGGCUUACCAAGGCAACGAUGCAUAGCCGACCUGAGAGGGUGAUCGGCCACACUGGAACUGAGACACGGUCCAGACUCCUACGGGAGGCAGCAGUAGGGAAUCUUCCGCAAAGGGCGAAAGCCUGACGGAGCAACGCCGCGUGAGUGAUGAAGGUCUUCGGAUCGUAAAACUCUCUUAUUAGGGAAGAACAUAUGUGUAAGUAACUGUGCACAUCUUGACGGUACCUAAUCAGAAAGCCACGGCUAACUACGUG
rnacentral:rRNA from 1 species